rnacentral:tRNA from 1 species
GAGUGUAUAGCUCAGUAGUAGAGCACAUGCUUAGCAUGCACGAGGUUCCAGGUUCAAUCCCCAGUACUUCCA